GCUCCAGCUUUAAGGUUUGUGAGCCCUUUGGGGGUUCAGGGAGCUGCUUGCCCAAGGUGCACUGUGUGGGGCUUCUGGGGCAAGAGGGAAGGUGACCACCCAGCCCUCCAUAUCCCACUGGAUCUGGCUUACAGGGAGUGGGAAGCCUGUCCUCACCAUCUCCGGGGGUUGUGGCCCCCACCCCAUCCCUACAUGCGCCCCUGGAACCAGCAAGUCUCAGACAAGGAGAGAGGAGGAGGAAGUGGAGGGAACACAGUCUCCAGUUGUAGCAGGUUCCACCCUAUUCCUAUGCUGGGGUAAACAGUGAGUAUUCACUUUUCACUUGUCUUGCUCUUGAGAUUGGGUUAUGGAUUUCAUCCUGUGUCCCCCGACCUGUCCAGGUGAGCAUGAGGGCAGCACCAGGAAGCAGCAGGAGGGCAGCUGGUGCCUCCUUUCCCAGGAGGCUGUGUUGACCGCUGCUCCCCACCCCUACAGAUGAAAGGGCAGGAAGCAGGGAGAGUUGGGGAAGGCAGGAUUGGAAAGACGGGAAAACCAAGACCGCCGCAGAGCUCUCUGUCCUCUCCACCUCUGGUCGCCUGUAGUGAUGUGCCUGUAAUCUUUUUCUCCAUCCAAACCCCUUCCCACAACAAAAGCAGGACUGCCUCCCUGUCUCCCGGGAGUUAGUGACAGCCUUGGGCCUUUGGGUCCCAAAGCAGCCGAUGGGAGUCUCCCUCCAACUCUGGAUAUGGACAGGGACUAGGCCUGGAUAGCUUGCUGUGCCAUGGGGCGGCAGCUCUUCUGGGAAGAACCUGUCCUUGCCUCCCCUCACUGUCUCUCAUUCUGCUUCUCCUCUCCUGAUGAUAAAAGGAAUCUGGCAUUCUACACCUGGACCAUUUGAUUGUUUUAUUUUGGAAUUGGUGUAUAUCAUGAAGCCUUGCUGAACUAAGUUUUGUGUGUAUAUAUUUAAAAAAAAAUCAGUGUUUAAAUAAAAAGACCUAUGUACUUAAUCCUUUAACUCUGCGGAUAGCAUUUGGUAGGUAGUGAUUAACUGUGAAUAAUAAACAUACAAUGAAUUCUUCA